CUUCCGGUCAAAGAGGUUUUGUAACCUCUUUGACUGGAAGGAAUCCUUCUGGUCAAAGGGGUUACAGAACCUCUUCAACUCGACUGGAAGGAAGGCCUUCCAGUUGAAGAGGUUACAAAACCUCUUUGACUGGAAGGGAAUCCUUCCAGUCAAAGGGGUUACAGAACCUCUUUGACUGGAAG
rnacentral:miRNA from 1 species